rnacentral:misc_RNA from 1 species
AACGCACGAGACCUGCGGACCUGCGGAAGGAUCAUUAGAGAAGAAUUGAUGUGGAAAGGCGCAAGCCUUCUCCAUAUCAACCCCCCUCUAUCUACCCCUGUGAACUGUUGAUCGGCUGGGAAUGUCAUGUUCUCGGGUCGAGGGUGCUUGCGCCCGAAUCACCUUUUCAAACGCAUUGUGUUGAAUGACACGCCACACGGCGUAUUCUACAAACACUAUACAACUUUCAACAACGGAUCU